ensembl:snoRNA
CUGCCGUGAUGGCGAUAUUUUUCGUCAACAGCAUUUCACUGGGUGAAUGGUGACGCCUGUGGUCUGAGCAG